AGCUAGCAGUCUGGAUCGAAAAUGUUACGUUUGUGGAAGGAAGGCAGCCAACAAAGAAUAAUAAAAAUUAGACCCUCAUUCAUAUUAAAAUACAGCUUUUCUUUCUCUUGACUUUUUAGGGGAGCAGGUCAAGAAAAGGACAAAGCUUCUUCUUUCCACUGACAGCCCUGCUGCUUAAUCACCUGAGAAUUACUGGUUGAUGUGACCCAUUGUUAACCGUGAAGAGGCAGACUUGAACAGAGGGACCGUGACAUAAAACCUGGAGGCAGGCCGGCAGGAAAUCUGGAGUGUCAAAAUAAGGUGGAAAGAAAGCUGAUGAGACAACACAGAUGGGCCUGUUCUUUUUUUAUCAGCCCUUCUUUGCACUAAUGCUAGCUACACACAGAAAUGCUGAAGUGCUUUAUUUGUAGGGACAGAGACCUCCACAUUGUCUGGUCCUUACCCCCAUCGGUCCACCGUCUCCCUUCCUCCAAGACUGGCUCUUGCACACACAUUCAUGUGUGAUUAGCAACUGUUAGAGCCUGAGGCUCUUUGGCUGGCACUCGCUCUACAUCUGAAUGGCAGCCGGUGAAACCCAGUGCUGUUCGAUGGGAUCUGCAAGUGGAUAUUGUCUGGGACUGACGGAAGAAAAAGAUUUACCUGCUUUUGUCUAACAAUAUUUAUGUGGCCGACUUUGCUGAGAUGGGAAAGAUAAAGAGACAAAAGGAAGAACAGUGAGUGACAGUAGUUGUUUUUUUUUUUUUUUAACAGAAUGUCUUUUAUUUAGAAAUUGCCUUUCAGUACUUAAAGGAAGCUUAUAAACAAGAUGGAGACCGACUUUUUACAUGGUCUGAUAGAGAGCAAGAGGAAACGGUUUUAAACUAAAAGAGGGAAAAUUUCUAUUAGCUUUUAGGAGGAAAUUCCUUACUCAUUUGGUGAGGCACUGGAACAGGUUGCCCUGAAAAGCUGUGGAUGGCCCGUUCCUGGAGGUGUUUAGGGCCAGGUUGAACUGGGGCCAUGGGCAGCCUGAGCUAAUGGAUGACAACUCUGUCCACAGCAGAGUGUUAGAAAUGGAUGAGCUUUAAGAUCCCUUCCAAUUUAAGCCAUUCUAUGAAUUAAAUUGAGUGGAAGUUGGAAGCUUGGGAAGAGGAUAUAAUAUUUACAUUGAAUCGAAGAAAUCAAUGUGUAGAAACUUAACAGCAAAGUUUUGUUACUAUUGAGUGAGGUAUUCUUUAUUAGUAGCACCAGCAAGCACUGGGGAUUUUUCCACCAUAAGUACUUCAAAGAUUACAUGAUUCAGAGUCCAUUGUAUUUCCACAGAUGGUACAUACUCAUCAAUUAUGCAUGAGACAGUUAACUUAUAUAUGCCUAUCUCAGGUUGUGAUUUAUGAGGUCUUCAGUCCUUUCUACUGUCUAGCAUCCUUUUAGCAUCAUGACAGUCCAAUUGACAGUCUUUUACUUCAUCCAGUAGUCUUCAUCGCUUUUCUCUGGAUGAACAUUCUCCACUGACGCAUGCUCAGUAGGAGAAUGACUAUUUUAAGUAAUUUAUAGGUACCAAAAUUGUAACAUUUGCUCACUCAGCACUCAGCCAUUAUUUCUGGGCAUCUGCUCAUCCUUGAGGUAUGUUUAGCAAUCUGUAUUUUAAUGAUAUAUACUGGGUUGUAGAAGAUAAGGAGGAUAGAGGGGAGUAUCUUAAUGUCUGCCUAUUGCAUCCCAACUUAGUCACAGAGUGAGACAGUUCAGCCUUGUGUGGAGACCCUAGUUUCAUUAUUGUAUUUCUUUUGCUCAGGGUCUCUUGUCAAAACAGAAUAGCUUUACAACGUGCUUUCUAGUUAAUAAUACUACGUCCAGACUAUUCGCAAUAUCUAAAAGCUAUUACAGUUUUGCGAGCAAGAACUAACCACAUAAUACAACAAUUCAACACUAUAUUUCUAAAAAUACAGUACUAAAAUAUAUGGUAUGUCUACUUUUCCAAAUCAAUUAUUUCUAAAAACAAUUACAAAAUAUAUUGUGGCCUGCUU
ensembl:lncRNA